rnacentral:rRNA from 1 species
GAUGAACGCUGGCGGCGUGCCUAAUACAUGCAAGUCGAGCGAACGGACGUGAAGCUUGCUUCUCUGAUGUUAGCGGCGGACGGGUGAGUAACACGUGGAUAACCUACCUAUAAGGCUUAGAUACCUUCGGGAAACCGGAGCUACUACCGGAUAAUAUUUUGAACCGCAUGGUUCAAAAGUGAAAGACGGUCUUGCUGUGACUUCUCGAUGGAUCCGCGCUGCAUUAGCUAGUUGGUAAGGUAACGGCUUACCAAGGCAACGAUGCAUAGCCGACCUGAGAGGGUGAUCGGCCACACUGGAACUGAGACACGGUCCAGACUCCUACGGGAGGCAGCAGUAGGGAAUCUUCCGCAAUGGGCGAAAGCCUGACGGAGCAACGCCGCGUGAGUGAUGAAGGUCUUCGGAUCGUAAAACUCUGUUAUUAGGGAAGAACAUAUGUGUAAGUAACUGUGCACAUCUUGACGGUACCUAAUCAGAAAGCCACGGCUAACUACGUG